GCACAGGUGGCGGAACAGGAAUACGCGCCAGGCUAAGGACCUGGUUCCCACCGUGGAUUGCGGGUUCGAGUCCCGCCCUGUGUACCA
rnacentral:tRNA from 1 species